rnacentral:rRNA from 1 species
AUGGCCAGACGAAGACUAGUCGUGCGCCCCUUCACCGCCAUCGACGCGACUUGGUCAACAGCCAAAGCCAUGGCCACCAAGCGCGUCCGCAACAGCAACAUAAUUGAAGUGCGCCGGGGCACGCGAUGCGGUUCGGUGACGCGUGGUCGUGUAGUUCGCGGCCACCACAGGCCCCCUCACCUCUACCUCCAUGGCCACGUCCUCAACUAG